GCCUGGGUGGCUCAGUUGGUUAAGCGUCUGACUUCAGCUCAGGUCAUGAUCUCACAGUUUGUGGAUUCGAGCCCCACUUUGGGCC
rnacentral:tRNA from 1 species